UCGAACGAUGACUCUCUAGCUUGCUAGAGAUGAUUAGUGGCGGACGGGUGAGUAACAUUUAGGAAUCUGCCUAGUAGUGGGGGAUAGCUCGGGGAAACUCGAAUUAAUACCGCAUACGACCUACGGGUGAAAGGGGGCGCAAGCUCUUGCUAUUAGAUGAGCCUAAAUCAGAUUAGCUAGUUGGUGGGGUAAAGGCCCACCAAGGCGACGAUCUGUAACUGGUCUGAGAGGAUGAUCAGUCACACCGGAACUGAGACACGGUCCGGACUCCUACGGGAGGCAGCAGUGGGGAAUAUUGGACAAUGGGGGCAACCCUGAUCCAGCCAUGCCGCGUGUGUGAAGAAGGCCUUUUGGUUGUAAAGCACUUUAAGCAGGGAGGAGAGGCUAAUGGUUAAUACCCAUUAGAUUAGACGUUACCUGCAGAAUAAGCACCGGCUAACUCUGUGCCAGCAGCCGCGGUAAUACAGAGGGUGCGAGCGUUAAUCGGAAUUACUGGGCGUAAAGCGAGUGUAGGUGGCUCAUUAAGUCACAUGUGAAAUCCCCGGGCUUAACCUGGGAACUGCAUGUGAUACUGGUGGUGCUAGAAUAUGUGAGAGGGAAGUAGAAUUCCAGGUGUAGCGGUGAAAUGCGUAGAGAUCUGGAGGAAUACCGAUGGCGAAGGCAGCUUCCUGGCAUAAUAUUGACACUGAGAUUCGAAAGCGUGGUAGCAAACAGGAUUAGA
rnacentral:rRNA from 1 species